CUUUUAUUUAAAAAGGGAUUAACAAAAUUUUAUAUAUUAUAUGCAAAGGAGAAAAAAUAUGGCUCAAAAUUACAUGUUGAUUUAUGCUAUGAUCAUAUGUCUUUUCCCAUAUCUUGUAGUAACCACCAAGACUGCAAUUGCCUGCGUUACUAACAAAGAUUGUCUAAAGUUUUUUACACCUCUUGAUAAUGUGAAGUGCGUUGGUAAUGUUUGUGAGUUCUUCUUGUAAGGGUAUAAUUGUAUUUGUACUUUUAUAGUUUACUUUAAAAUUUAAUUUAUAUUUCUCUAGCCUUUCAAUUUUUAUAACAAAGCUCUACAAUGCAUCAUUAUAUUAUGUUAGUAUAUGUACCUUAGUUUUCUCAUAGAAGAAAUCACAAACAACACCGUCCCUAUACAUAAUAUAUAGUAAUAAUAAGAUACUAUAAUAAAGUAUCUUAUUAAAGCAUUUCUUCCAUUAUGUA